CUUUGAUAUGGCAAGGUCAUGGAGGAGAACAGGUGUGAUCUGGGGUGGAUUCCUUGGUGUUGGUGUCUUAUAUAUGACAGAUUGGAGUGUGGUCCUCAAGUAUAUUCCUGUUAUCAACUGGAAAUACACAAAGACGGAUGAUUCGUAACCCAUGUCUUCUGUAGAUGUAUAGAAUAUAUUAUAAGUUAAGACCUUUGUUAUGCAUCCAUCAACAAGCCAGCUUUAUCAUCAAUAAUGCCAGCAGAAACUACUUCUGUGCAGUUGAUUGUCUGGAGUUGCAAAAAUCAUUUAUGGAGAAGCCACAAACUUCAAAGAAGCAAGAAAUAUCAGCGUUUUCAGGAUAUAAAACCAACAAAUUUAAAGAUAUCUCCGUAGUUUUCAUCAGUUUGUGGAGUGAAAUAUUUAUGAAGAUGAAAUGCAUUACAAUUUACCAGUGCUUAAAGCAAUAACACUAUUAUACAAAAUAUGACCGCAGAGGAUUUGCCGACAUUGAAGCAUACCCAUGUCUUAAGUUAUUGAAUAAUGCUGUGAUGCAUAUGAACUCUUUGAAAUGUAGAUAAGGUAAUCGGUUGUUAUGUCUUGGUGGUAAAUCCCCAUGAAAAUGCUUAUGAAUUGAUGUUUUGCAGUAAUAUUGCAGUAAAAUGUAAUUUGAAAUAU